UACGUAGGGGGCAAGCGUUGUCCGGAAUCAUUGGGCGUAAAGAGCGUGUAGGCGGCCCGGUAAGUCCGCUGUAAAAGUCAAAGGCUCAACCUUUGAAUGUCAGUGGAUACUGCCGGGCUAGAGUCCGGAAGAGGCGAGUGGAACUCCUGGUGUAGCGGUGGAAUGCGCAGAUAUCAGGAAGAACACCAACGGCGAAGGCAGCUCGCUGGGACGGUACUGACGCUGAGACGCGAAAGCGUGGGGAGCGAAUGAGAUAGUACGUACCGGGUAGUCCAGACCAAGUCUCGUGCCUGACCG
rnacentral:rRNA from 1 species